AUUGAACGCUGGCGGCAUGCCUUACACAUGCAAGUCGAACGGUAACAGGUUAAGCUGACGAGUGGCGAACGGGUGAGUAAUAUAUCGGAACGUGCCCAGUCGUGGGGGAUAACGUAGCGAAAGCUACGCUAAUACCGCAUACGAUCUACGGAUGAAAGCGGGGGAUCGCAAGCCCUUUUGCUAAUAGAUGAGCCUGCGUAGGAUUAGCUAGUUGGUGGGGUAAAAGCUCACCAAGGCGACGAUCCUUAACUGGUUUGAGAGAAUGAUCAGUCACCCUGAAACUGAGACACGGUCAAGACUCCUACGGGAGGCAGCAGUGGGGAAUAUUGGACAAGGGGCGAAAGCCGGAUCCAGCAAUACCGCGUGUGUGAAGAAGGCCUUAGGGUUGUAAAGCACUUUCAAUUGGAAGGAAAACCUCGAAGCUAAUACCUUCGAGUUUGACAUUACCUUUAGAAGAAGCACCGGCUAACUCCGUGCCAGCCGCCGCAGUAA
rnacentral:rRNA from 1 species